rnacentral:piRNA from 1 species
UGGGAUGUGGAAGAGUGUGGUUGAGC